GAUGAACGCUGGCGGCGUGCUUAACACAUGCAAGUCGAACGAUGAAGCCCAGCUUGCUGGGUGGAUUAGUGGCGAACGGGUGAGUAACACGUGAGUAACCUGCCCUUAACUCUGGGAUAAGCCUGGGAAACUGGGUCUAAUACCGGAUAGGAGCGUCCACCGCAUGGUGGGUGUUGGAAAGAUUUAUCGGUUUUGGAUGGACUCGCGGCCUAUCAGCUUGUUGGUGAGGUAAUGGCUCACCAAGGCGACGACGGGUAGCCGGCCUGAGAGGGUGACCGGCCACACUGGGACUGAGAAGCGGCCCAGACUGCUACGGGAGGCAGCAGUGGGGAAUAUUGCACAAUGGGCGGAAGCCUGAUGCAGCGACGCCGCGUGGGGGAUGACGGCCUUCGGGUUGUAAACCUCUUUCAGUAGGGAAGAAGCGAAAGUGACGGUACCUGCAGAAGAAGCGCCGGCUAACUACGUG
rnacentral:rRNA from 1 species